CUACGGGUCGCUCCAGUGAGGAAUAUUGGUCAAUGGACGCAAGUCCGAACCAGCCAUGCCGCGUGCAGGAUGACGGCCCUAUGGGUUGUAAACUGCUUUUAUUAAGGAAUAAACCCCAUUACGUGUAAUGGGCUGAACGUACUUAAAGAAUAAGCAUCGGCUAACUCCGUGCCAGCAGCCGCGGUAAUACGGAGGAUGCAAGCGUUAUCCGGAUUCAUUGGGUUUAAAGGGUUCGCAGGCGGCGUAUUAAGUCAGUGGUGAAAUCCCCCGGCUCAACCGGGGAACUGCCAUUGAUACUGGUAUGCUAGAGUAUAGUUGGCGUAGGCGGAAUAUUUCAUGUAGCGGUGAAAUGCUUAGAUAUGAAAUAGAACACCGAUCGCGAAGGCAGCUUACGAAACUAUAGCUGACGCUCAGGAACGAAAGCGUGGGGAGCGAACAGGAUUAGAUACCCUUGUAGUC
rnacentral:rRNA from 1 species